GGAAAACAAGCCUGAUAGAAUUUUUAUCAGGGUCCCAUUAAAACAAGUGAUCACUUAAAAGAAAGUGACCAUCUUAAUUUAAGAUCACUUUCUAAUCCAUGAACAUGGUAUAACUCACCAUUUGUUUUUUAUUUAACUUCCCUUUGCAAUGUUGUAUAGUUUUCAAAGUUCAAGUCUUCCAUAUUUUUUGUUAAGUUUGCUGAUUCUAAUCAUCUUAUUUUUAUGCUACUUAAAUGGAGUAUUAAAUUUUCUCAUAUUUAUUGGUGGUACAUAAGUGUACAGUUGGACUUGUAUUCUUCAAUCUUAGUACAUUCACUCACUAUUUCUAGUAGCUACUUUGUAAACUUCUUUCUGUUUUCUAUAAACAUGAUCAUAUAAUCUUCAAACAUGGCAGUUUUACUUCCUUAUUUCAGAUGUUUAUCCCUUCUAUUUCUGUUUCUUGCCUUAUUGUACUUGCCAGAAAUACCAGUAAUAUGUUGUAAAAAAGUGAUUAGAAUGGAUAUUUUAUUUCUGAUCUUAGGUAGAAAACAUUGAGCUUUUCACCACUGAGUUUGAGGCUAGCUUCAUAAGUCUGAGGUGAAAGAAAUUCCCUUUUAUUCCUAGCUUGUUGAAGUUCCUCAUUGCUUUAAUAUCACAGUUGGGUGUUGAACUUUGUCAAACAUGUUUCCAACAUCCUUUGAGAUGACCAUAUGGUUUUUCUCCUGUGUUCUGUCCAUAUGAUAAAUUACAUCUGCUGAGUUUGAACGUUAGACCAGUUUUGUGUUCUCAGGAAACACCCUUUGGUUAUGAUACAUUAUCUUUUCUAUUGUUGGAUUUGAUGUGCUAAAUUUUAUUAAAGAAAUUUGUGCCUAUGUUCAUGUGGGAUAUGAGUCUCUAAUUCUCUCAUAAUGUCUUUGACUGAUUUUUGGAGUGGCCUCUAAGAAAUGUGUGAAGUGUCUUCCCAUCAUUUUCUGAAAGAGCUGGUGUGUUUUCUUUGUUGGUAUUUUUUCUUUCAUAAAUACUUUGUAGAAUUCAUCCGUGAAGCCAUCCAAGCCUGGGACUUUCUUUGUGAGAUACUUUUAAAGUGUAAAUUCAGGCUGGGUUUGGUGGCACAUGCCUGUGAUCACAGCACUCAAGAGGCUGAGGCAGGAAGAUCACUGUGAGUUUGAGGCCAGCCUCAGGUACAUAGUGAGUUCAAGGCCAACCUGAACUACACGGCAAUUCUGUCUCUGAAAACAUAAAUAAAUAAAUAAAUAAACAAACAAACAAACAAAUCCAUUUCUUUGAUUUACAUAUGAUUAUUCAAGUUGUCUAUUUCCUCUUGGGUCAACUUUUAGUAAUUUGUUUCUCUUAAGGAAUUUGCUCAGUUUGUCUAGGUUAUACAUUUUAUUGGCAUAAAACUUUUCACAAUUUUGCUUAUUGUCUUUUUCAUGGCUAUGAGAUUAGUGUUGUAACCCUCUUUCAUUACUUACCAUGGUAAUUUGUGUCCUCUGUUUUUACUUGAUC
ensembl:lncRNA